CAAGUCGUUGCUCUUAGAUAUAAGAGUAAUGACUUUUAUGCUAAGCCCAAUGUCGAGGAGGGAUGUCCUCGUUACCUCUAUUGAUUUUGUGUAGUUCAGUUUUUGUACGAGGACGUGCUCGUCACCUGGCGUAAUCCUGCUCGUGAUGUUUAUGAGGAGGUUGAAGAUCAUAAUUGUUUAAAGAGGGACGUGCUCGUCACUUUGCUCGUCAGCUGUUAUAACCUUGCUCAUUAUGUUCACGAGGAGGUAUUUUGGUGAAACGCUGCUUUCAUACGAGCAGCUGCUCAUGAAAGAGGUGUAUUUAUUGCUCGUGCCUGUGGCGACGAGGGGGUGUCUGUGAAGAGGUGUAUUUGCUUUUUGUUUUUACGAGGGGGUGUAUAAACCGUUGGAUCAAAGUGCCCUCUUGUUGUAGUGGCCUUUGAUUUCUUUAAAUAGAGAGGAGUGAAUUUAUUUUUUACAUUUCACUCUCUCUCUUCGUUUGCUGUCGUUAGGAUUCUCUGGGAGCUUUGCUCAAGUGUCAAGUCUCGUUCUUUGAAUCUUCUUCGAAUUCAAGGUAUUCCUCAAAUUUCUUCUUAUGAUUUGCUUGUUUAGAUCUAGUUUUUGUUGUUUUUUGCUCAGUUUGGGUGUUUUUCUGGGUUCUGCUAUGAAGAACAUGAUGAACAUAGGAUGAAUUUUCCGGGCACUAUAUGAAAUUUCCGAGCACUAGAUUAGCGAAGGAUAGAUUUCUGGGUAGAUUUAGGAGUCUUCGUUUGGUCGGGGAACCUCGUCCCCUUCAAAGUAAAUCUGCUCGAAAUUUUAACCGGGGAGCUUUGUCCCCUUCAAAGAAUUUUGCUGGGUAUUAAUCCGGGGAGCAUCGUCCCCUUCGAACUUUU
rnacentral:lncRNA from 1 species